GGUAUAAGUUGUUAGGUUCCUCCUACCUGACUGCCUUUAAGCUGGGACAUUGUUUUCCUUCUGCUUUCAGGCUUGCACCAAAACAUCAGAUCUUCCUGGGUCUUGAGAUAGCUAGUUUUCAGACUGCAACUACACCAUCAUCUCUCCUGGUUCUCAGACCUUCAGACUUAGACUGAAACUUACAUAAUCAGCUCUCCUGGUCUCCAGCUUGCUGACAGCAGACUUUAGGACUUGUUAGACUCCACAGUGAAAGAUCACUCUGACUGCUACAUGGAAAAUGUGCUGGGGAGAAACAAGACUGCAGGAAAUAAGAGCAGUGAACAAGCUCUUGCUGUAAUUCAAGUCAGGUGUAGAAGCUGGAGCUGGAGCAGCCAUUCUGAACUAUGUCG
rnacentral:lncRNA from 1 species